UCCAGUCCUGUCAGCUCUUCUUUUCCUGUGAUGUUGAUCGUUGGACUAGUUGUUGGAUUCAUUCUUGGUUUUCUCCUGCUGUUGAUGUUGUGCUGCAAACAGUCCAAGGGUUUAUGGUGCUUCAGGUCAGAGGUCAGCAGUCAGAGCUCGACCACAAAUCAAGGAUCCAACCAGACAGAGAGCCAAGUUUACAGCUCUCUGCUACACGGU